UACAGAGGUCUCAAGCGUUGUUCGGAUUCAUUGGGCGUAAAGGGCGCGUAGGCGGGCACGCAAGUCAGGGGUGAAAGCCCACGGCUCAACCGUGGAAGGGCCUUUGAUACUGCGUGCCUGGAGGGAGGUAGGGGCGUGCGGAACUUCCGGUGGAGCGGUGAAAUGCGUAGAUAUCAGGAGGAACACCUGUGGUGUAGACGGCUUUCUGGACCAUAACUGACGCUGAGACACGAAAGCGUGGGUAGCAAACAGG
rnacentral:rRNA from 1 species